rnacentral:rRNA from 1 species
CAAGUCGAGCGAGAAAGUGUAGCAAUACAUGAGUACAGCGGCGCACGGGUGAGUAACACGUGGAUAACCUGCCUCAAAGUGGGGAAUAACACCGGGAAACCGGUGCUAAUACCGCAUAUUCUGAUGAGAUCUGUGGAUUUUGUCAGUAAAGGAGCAAUUCGCUAUGAGAGGGGUCCGCGGCUGAUUAGCUAGUUGGUGAGGUAAUGGCUCACCAAGGCAACGAUCAGUAGCCGGUCUGAGAGGACGGUCGGCCACACUGGAACUGAGACACGGUCCAGACUCCUACGGGAGGCAGCAGUGGGGAAUUUUUCGCAAUGGGGGAAACCCUGACGAAGCAAUGCCGCGUGGAUGAUGAAGUAUUUCGGUACGUAAAAUCCUUUCGACGGGGACGAAACCGCAAGGUUGACGGUACCCGUAGAAGAAGCCCCGGCUAACUCCGUGCCAGCAGCCGCGGUAAUACGGGGGGGGCAAGCGUUGUUCGGAAUUACUGGGCGUAAAGGGUGCGUAGGCGGCUUUCUAAGUUGGAUGUGAAAACUCUGGGCUCAACCCAGAGACUGCAUCCAAAACUGGAGAGCUUGGGUUCUGGAGGGGAAAGCGGAAUUCCUGGUGUAGCGGUGAAAUGCGUAGAUAUCAGGAGGAACACCGGUGGCGAAGGCGGCUUUCUGGACAGAUACCGACGCUGAGGCACGAAAGCUAGGGGAGCAAACAGGAUUAGAUACCCUGGUAGUCCUAGCCCUAAACGAUGGAUACUUGCUGUGAAGGGGGAUCGAAACCCCUUGUGGCGAAGCUAACGCAUUAAGUA